rnacentral:lncRNA from 1 species
GCGCGACAAAAACAACAGUGUGCUUUGAAUUAUAAUAAAUUGUUUGCUGACACAUUAAUUCGCAUUGACAGCAACAAAAAGAACAAAAUAGACAAUUCUUUAUAUAUUUCAGAUUAUGAAAAUAAAAAGUUAAAUAAAAGUUUUUCAACAAUAGAUCAUAAAAGUAAUAAUUAUAAAACAUAUAAACAAAAUAGUAACUUCUUAAAUAAAACGUGUGUAAAUGAAAAAAACAAAGAGGUUACUAAUAAAUAUAUAUACAGCAAUAAUAGUGCACACCGUAAUAAGCGUACGUCGAAUAUCAUAAAAUCAAAUAAAGAACACGAAAAUAACAACUAUAAUUUAUCAGUCAGCUUAAGAAAUAACUAUUUUAAUAAGACUUACACGCCAGCACAGACAAAAGGUAAUGACAAAACAGUAGGUCUAAAUGUGAGAAACUAUAACGACCUGAAUGGUUUUUGUACAAAUAGACUACAUAGGUCUUCAUCAUUAUUCAUAGGGCAAAAAGUAAAACCGGUACAAAAUAAAAUAACAUUACGAAAAACUACAUCACCCAAUUUAAAAAUAAAAUUAAACGUGACACCACAUUUAAAUAAUAAAACAAAAAAAAUAAAAAAUAACACAGAAAAAAAAUAUAUACAACAAACAGCUUGCAAACCGAUACGACACAAAAGAAANNNNNNNNNNAGUAUUAACAGUUCUGUAAAUAUCGCGCGACAAAAACAACAGUGUGCUUUGAAUUAUAAUAAAUUGUUUGCUGACACAUUAAUUCGCAUUGACAGCAACAAAAAGAACAAAAUAGACAAUUCUUUAUAUAUUUCAGAUUAUGAAAAUAAAAAGUUAAAUAAAAGUUUUUCAACAAUAGAUCAUAAAAGUAAUAAUUAUAAAACAUAUAAACAAAAUAGUAACUUCUUAAAUAAAACGUGUGUAAAUGAAAAAAACAAAGAGGUUACUAAUAAAUAUAUAUACAGCAAUAAUAGUGCACACCGUAAUAAGCGUACGUCGAAUAUCAUAAAAUCAAAUAAAGAACACGAAAAUAACAACUAUAAUUUAUCAGUCAGCUUAAGAAAUAACUAUUUUAAUAAGACUUACACGCCAGCACAGACAAAAGGUAAUGACAAAACAGUAGGUCUAAAUGUGAGAAACUAUAACGACCUGAAUGGUUUUUGUACAAAUAGACUACAUAGGUCUUCAUCAUUAUUCAUAGGGCAAAAAGUAAAACCGGUACAAAAUAAAAUAACAUUACGAAAAACUACAUCACCCAAUUUAAAAAUAAAAUUAAACGUGACACCACAUUUAAAUAAUAAAACAAAAAAAAUAAAAAAUAACACAGAAAAAAAAUAUAUACAACAAACAGCUUGCAAA